rnacentral:rRNA from 1 species
AGAACGAACGCUGGCGGCAGGUCUAACACAUGCAAGUUGAGCGCCCCGCAAGGGGAGCAGCGCACGGGUGCGUAACGCGUGGGAACGUCCCUCUAGGUGAGGAACAACGUCGGGAAACUGACGCUAAUACCUCAUAAUAUCUACGGAUCAAAGAUUUAUCGCCUAGAGAUCGGCCCGCGUUAGAUUAGCUAGUUGGUGAGGUAAUGGCUCACCAAGGCUACGAUCUAUAGCUGAUCUGAGAGGAUGAUCAGCCACACUGGAACUGAGACACGGUCCAGACUCCUACGGGAGGCAGCAGUGAAGAAUAUUGGACAAUGGGGGCAACCCUGAUCCAGCCAUGCCGCGUGAGUGAUGAAGGCCUUCGGGUUGUAAAACUCUUUUAGAUGUGACGAUGAUGACGGUAACAUCAGAAAAGCUCCGGCUAACUUCGCGCCAGCAGCCGC